rnacentral:rRNA from 1 species
AUGAGAUCGGCAAAGAUGACCCUGUUCUAUCCGUAUGCAUCUACAUGGGCUACCUUUUUGAGUUGUCCACGCAUCAUAAAGCAUAAUGUUUUUUACAGGCCCGUUGCUUGCCGGAGUACAAACAGUUCUUUUGUAUAUGUCUUGACUUCAAUGUUCUCUUAUUAUGUUGGAAAUGUUGAGCCUUCAUGUAGAUACUUGGCCAUGAUUCCUUUGGGUAGCUUGGACAUAAGGGCACCAGAUAGUCUUAUAAGUUAUGAUUAUGAAAAUGUUGUAAAAUUUAUAAGGAAUGGUUUUGCUGUUCGAUUUCCUUUUGAAUUUCAAGACAGCCCCUGGGCAUAUUCUUGGAUCAUCAACACAUGCCUGAAUGAUUCAAUGAGCUACUUCUACAAACAGAUAUCUAGUACAAGCAUCGGAAAUCAGAGUUCUGCAAUUGUCGGUAUCGACAUCCAUUUCUUGAAAUGCAUAAAUGACUAUUCCUACCAGACUAAAUUAUUUUGGGCUGCGGUAGUCAUAAUAUCUGCUAUAAAUAUUGUGAAGUUGCUUGCUAUAUUAUCGAGGCUUGUAUUUGCACCAUUGCUCGUGUUGACCUUCCUUGCCUACAAAUACUGGAAAAUGAAGAUAUCAGUUGACGCGGUUGAGAAGUUCCUCAUGCAACAAGCCUUUGGCCCAACAAGGUACGCUUACACAGACAUCACCGCAAUCACAAGCCACUUCAGAGAAAAGCUGGGCCAAGGAGGCUAUGGUUCUGUGUACAAAGGUGUUCUCCCUGUUGAUGUCCAUGUUGCCAUUAAAAUGUUGGUCAAUUCCAUGUGCAAUGGAGAAGAAUUCAUUAGUGAGGUGUCCACCAUCGGAAAUAUUCACCAUGUCAAUGUAGUGCGUCUAUUGGGUUUCUGCUCUGAGGAAAUGGGGAGGGCUCUUGUUUAUGAGUACAUGCCUCAUGGAUCGCUUGAUAAGUACAUCUUCUCGUCUGAGAAGAGUCUAUCCUGGGACAAGCUAAAUGAGAUUGCUUUGGGCAUUGCUAGAGGGAUUGAUUAUUUGCAUCGAGGAUGUGAUAUGCAGAUUCUACACUUUGACAUCAAGCCACACAACAUACUUCUUGACAGCAACCUCAUCCCCCAAGUUUCUGAUUUCGGUCUCGCCAAGCUAUACCCAAGGGAUAACAGUUUUGUGCCACUGAGCGCGUUACGCGGAACUGUUGGGUACAUAGCUCCUGAGAUGAUAUCUCACAACUUUGGCAUCAUAUCAAGCAAGUCGGACGUUUACAGCUUUGGGAUGCUGCUGCUGGAGAUGGCUGGAGGAAGACGAAAUGCAGAUCCAAAUGCACCGAACUCAAGCCGGGCAUACUAUCCAUCAUGGGUGUAUGAUAGGCUAACUGAACGAGAGGUGGAUGAGAUAUCUCCUGCUGCUGACAUGCAUGAGCUAGAGAGGAAGCUGUGCAUUGUUGGGCUAUGGUGCAUUCAGAUGAGAUCUCAUGAUCGGCCAACGAUGAGCGAGGCCAUAGAGAUGCUGGAAGGUGGUGUUGAUGACUUGCAAAUGCCAUCGAGGCCAUUCUUCUGUGACGAAGGGCACAUCCAUGUUGAGGAUUCUUACCAUUUGUCAUCCGAGUUGACUGCAAUAUCCGAGGAGAGCGAAAAUAUUUAUGUGUGA